CGCCAACUGACACCAGGUGCAAAACCUGAGCAUGCACAGUACCGUUGUUCACCACUGGGGGCGCCCUACAGAAAUGGACUUCGAAGUAGUUUGAAUCACCCUUCCAGAUGCUUACUGUACCCGAACUCAUUGAACAGGAGACUGGGUUUCCUGAGAGAGAAAGCAAGCUUGUUGCUGUCCAAACAAAGCUGGAAGACCCCUGCCCCAGCAUCUGGUGACUUGGAAGGAAGGCAGGCCCUGGCCAAGCCUACCUCCAACACUUCUUUCUCCCUCCGGACCAGCAUGGCAGGCACAGAAGAAAGGGAGGAGUUAUAUUCAGUGAUCCUGGGACUGCCUGCUGCUGUGCUGGAGGACCCAAGCAUCUACAUGGCAGCCUAAAACUAUCUGUAAACUUCAGUUUUGGGGGAAUCGGAUGUUCUCUUCUGUGCAUACACACUCACAAAAGAAAAUUUGAAAACGAAAAUAAAGAAAUCUUAUUAUUCAACUCACAGAGCUCUACCCGCCUCUGCUUCCCAGGUUCUGGAAUUAUAUGAGAUUAAAGGUGCCACACUAUCACACCAGACAGAAUUAGUAAAGUUUGUUUCUUGGUUUUGUUUUUUUCUCAAGACAGGGGUUUCCCUAUGUAGUCCUGGCUGUCCUGGAACUUAACUGUACAGACCAGAAUGGCUUCAAACCCAGAGUUCACUAUGCCUGUCUAAAGUUAAUUCUCAAAAAAAUAAAUGAAACGCUAAAUUUGUGGCAAUCUCUCGUGGUGGCACUGCCGCUGUUUUCAAGACGUGACGGCCACGUGCUGUCCUG
rnacentral:lncRNA from 1 species